UGGAGCAGUGGCACUAUACGGCUUCUGAAGGGGUUCUAUAAAUCAAACCAUUUUGCUUCCCUUUAUGCAGCAAAUGAUGAUGCGGAGAGAAAAAACGCCUACUUCAAAUUUAUAUAUACAAGAGGCAGCGUGCAGAUACCUGGGAGAGAAAGCGAAUCAGCACCAAAAAAGGCUCAAAUAGAAAUCGCUUGUCGCUUAAUUAAUUUCUGAGACCGCCUCUUAAAUAUUCGUAAAUAGAACAGAGACGGAGUAUCUUCUUUUUUUCCUGUGUAUCUUGUAGGUCUCUUCGUAAAGAGGAAGAAAGGCUCAUGUAAAAGAUGGAGGAAUUGGCUGUAGUAUCGGAGCGAUGGCGGAGAGUAGUAGAUGAAGAUUAAGGUAUUGGCGCGCCUCAACGUAAAGACGUGGUUAGAUGGUUGUAUUAGCCAUUUAUUUUCAUUGAGCCGCGUCAAUAUCUCCUUCUGCUCCUCUCUCCCUCCAUCUCUUUGGCUUCAGAAUCAAUUUCCGGUUCUUGUGUUUUGUCAGAAUCGUCGUUCUAAGUUAGAUGGCUUGGCAGGAGCCAUAACUGCAAGUUUAAUGGGACCUACUACCCUUUGCUCUCAGUUGGGCUGCAUUAAAUUGGAUUCCUUUGCGGCCCUACCAAUUAGUAUUACUUUCGCCUUUGUCAAUUAUGAUGUUUCUUCAAACAGUCUCUUUGCAAAUGUACAGUUGCUAGAUAUUUUAUAUAUAUACAUAUGGUAGAAAAACUAGCUAACCGGGGUUUCUUUCUCAUGAUCCAAUAAUUCUUAAUAGUUUUUUUUAAUUGGUCAUUGUAAAACGCUACAAAACAUUAGUUGUUGUGGAUAAUGAUGUCUGGAAUCACAAAAAUUCACCCAGAUUGGGUAUUUGUAA